rnacentral:rRNA from 1 species
GAUGAACGCUGGCGGCGUGCCUAGUACAUGCAAGUCGAGCGAACAGACGAGGAGCUUGCUCCUCUGACGUUAGCGGCGGACGGGUGAGUAACACGUGGAUAACCUACCUAUAAGACUGGGAUAACUUCGGGAAACCGGAGCUAAUACCGGAUAAUAUAUUGAGCCGCAUGGUUCAAUAGUGAAAGACGGUUUUGCUGCCACUUAUAGAUGGAUCCGCGCCGCAUUAGCUAGUUGGUAAGGUAACGGCUUACCAAGGCAACGAUGCGUAGCCGACCUGAGAGGGUGAUCGGCCACACUGGAACUGAGACACGGUCCAGACUCCUACGGGAGGCAGCAGUAGGGAAUCUUCCGCAAUGGGCGAAAGCCUGACGGAGCAACGCCGCGUGAGUGAUGAAGGUCUUCGGAUCGUAAAACUCUGUUAUUAGGGAAGAACAAAUGUGUAAGUAACUAUGCACGUCUUGACGGUACCUAAUCAGAAAGCCACGGCUAACUACGUG